rnacentral:siRNA from 1 species
UAGUACGAGAGGAACCGUUGAU